rnacentral:tRNA from 1 species
GCCUUCGUAGUGUAGUGAUCAGCACGCUCGGCUUGUAUUCGAGAGGUUAGUGGUUCAAGUCUCGGCGAGGGCA